CGUGGCCUACGGGGGGCAGCAGUGGGGAAUAUUGGACAAUGGGGGGAACCCUGAUCCAGCGACGCCGCGUGAGUGAAGAAGUAUUUCGGUAUGUAAAGCUCUAUCAGCAGGGAAGAAAAUGACGGUACCUGACUAAGAAGCCCCGGCUCACUACGUGCCAGCAGCCGCGGUAAUACGUAGGGGGCACGCGUUAUCCGGAUUUACUGGGUGUAUAGGGAGCGUAGACGGUGCAGCAAGUCUGAUGUG
rnacentral:rRNA from 1 species